rnacentral:lncRNA from 1 species
UACGAUCAAGGCUUCUAGAAGGAUCUUCCAGUUCUAGUUUUCUUUAUUUUACUUUUUAUUUAAUCAUUAUCUAUUCUAAUUAAUUAUAUCUUCCACGAGACAAUCUAUGUAGAUAUAUUUUUAGAUAUUUCACACUAAUUAAUAAACAUUUUUAAUAUUAUAAAUUUAAAAACUUCAAGAAAAUAAUAAUAAUAAAAAACAAUAGAGAGUAUAUUGAAAAAAUGUCAUUAUUUAUUAGAAUUGUAAAUUGAUUUAUAAUUUAGAAUAAAUUCUUUUUA